UCUCCCAAAUCUUUUAUCGCCGAAUCUCUUCUUUCUCCCAUCUCACCGAUGCCUCUAUUCCCAAUACCUCACCUCUCCUAAUUCCGUCCCCUGCCUGAACUCGAUCAGCCAUUGACCAUCUUCUCUUCUUUGUCAUUGGCACAACCCCAUCACUGACGCCAAUCGCCGACCACCAGCGACAUCGUUCCCGACCGGCUAGCCACUUCGCUGGUGUGGAUUCCAUCCAUCGUCGUCAGGUGCUGCCACGGCUGUAGAUGCAACCACCAUUGGCUCCUCGCGAGGGAUCUGACCGGCAACGUCGACUCAGACCUUCAUCCGAUCCCUUCCUCUCCCUCUCCUUUUCGGACCUAAGCAGGGCACUGGCCAUGCCCUAGUGCUGUCGUGCGGCUUCGCUCACGCCAUUUCCGCAUUGUUUCUUCGUUGGAAUUAGAUCACGGCCACCGGUGCCAACCAGUCGCAACCUCUGCACACCCCAAGUUUUCGAGUUCCCUUCGGCUGUGAGUGCACAGCAGGGUAAUUAGAUUUAGGCUCUGGCCGACAUAGUUGUUUUGACCAUCUUUCUGACAGCAAGGGGUAUUCCGACAAUGGGUUGAUUCAAGAGAAAAUGGAUUAGAGUAGGUUUGGAACUCCAGCCAGCAUAGAUUUGGAACUAUUUGUAGCUCCGGCCAUCCUGGUUUGUGGACGAUCCAUAGCUAGGGCCACCCGAGGAAGCUAUGUCAGCAAAUCCCUAGUUUGCCCAGCCAUUGCCGCACUGUAUCCUUCAUCGUGAUUGCAUCACAGCCAUUGGUGCUAGCACUAACAGUGCUUUCUCGCUACCAAGGUAACUAGCAAACUCUAUCACAUAAUGUGAGUGUUUUAGUGUUUAUUUAGUACUGAUUUGGGUAUCUAGCUUAGGGAUUAGUCCUAUUGCUCUAACCACAAGGUUCCAGCAGCAAUUGUUCCAGCCGCAAGUCAACAGUAGAGCGCACUGAAUUGGGUAAGUUAUGGUUUGAUUCAUACAUGAAUGCAGAUUUUGGAAUGGUGUAGCUGCUGGGAUCGGUGAAUCUAAUCUUAAUUAUGGAGUUAAUUGGUUUUUAUGGAUAGUAAGUUGAUAUUGAUUAGCUUAAAGGAUGAAUGAUUUAGUUGUGGAUUAAUUGAUUUGAAUUGAGUUACAGAUUGGAUUAUGGAAUGAUAAGAGUUUAUGGAUUGAGUUAAACUUAAUAAGAUUAAUGAGAUUGGUUAACUAAUGAGAUUAAGGUUUUAGGUUAGCUAAUUGAUGCACGAUGGAAUAGCUAAACUAUACAAUUUAUUACAGGACUCUAAUUCGAGACAAGCACUUCGACGUAGGGAUUGUUUAGCUUAAUCUACAUUUAAGGUGGAUACUUCUUGCUUUGUCUUUUUAGUACUUUGACCCUAGUGUAUUAGCUUUAUAUUCAGAUAGUUGAUGUUUUUACCUUGGAUCUACUCAUAUUUUUCCUGAGCUUGAUACUUAUCCACUCGAUCUUUGGGAUAAUCGAUAUGAUGUCUAUACAGUCUUUCAUUGUUAUCCAUGAUAUUAAGUAGAUACUAGGUACCAUGCUUACUUACUUUGAAUGCUGUUUAUUUACAUACCUUAUUGCGCAUGCUAGCUUCUUAUAGCAUACCUGAUUUUUUGUUUAUAUGUAUAUAUGAUGACUAUUGCAUCUUGUGCAUGCCAUUACAUGCAUGUCGGCGACCAUGCCUCCUUGUGGUUGAGAGAUUGUUGGCCAAAGUCGCACGCUCGACCACUCAUGGGUAGUGGUAGUUGGAGCAGAUGUCGCUUGUCUUGUUGUGCCAUACUCAGUCAUUCAUGGGUAGUGGUAGCUGGAGUUGUGAGCAGCAGGGACCCCCUUCGCUGUGUAGCUAAAUAGCUACUCAACAUCUAUCCACUCAGUCACUCGAGAGUAGUAGCGGCCUUUGAGUAAGUACAGUUAUCAUCGAUCUGACCUCUCCACCAUACAGGGGUCGUGGUGCAGAGGGGGGGUGACUGUCCGUGCAUACGCUGUUAUUAUUAUACUUGUAGAUGUUGUUGAUUGCUUGCUUAUGCAGUUGUUUUAUUAUAUCCAUGUGAUAUGCUUGCAUAUGUUGAGUUAUGUACCUAUUGCAUGUGCUUAAACAUUGAUUUACUUGUUAGUAGUAUGUAUAUACCUCACAUGUUAUCCUUGUA